rnacentral:rRNA from 1 species
GACGAACGCUGGCGGCGUGCCUAACACAUGCAAGUCGAACGGAAAGGCCCUGCUUUUGUGGGGUGCUCGAGUGGCGAACGGGUGAGUAUCACGUGAGUAACCUGCCCUUGACUUCGGGAUAACUUCAGGAAACUGGGGCUAAUAUCGGAUAGGAGCUCCUGCUGCAUGGUGGGGGUUGGAAAGUUUCGGCGGUUGGGGAUGGACUCGCGGUGUAUCAGCUUGUUGGUGGGGUAGUGGCUUACCAAGGCUUUGACGGGUAGCCGGCCUGAGAGGGUGACCGGCCACAUUGGGACUGAGGUGCGGCCCAGACUCCUACGGGAGGCAGCAGUGGGGAAUAUUGCACGAUGGGCGGAAGCCUGAUGCAGCGACGCCGCGUGCGGGAUGACGGCCUUCGGGUUGUAAACCGCUUUCGCCUGUGACGAAGCGUGAGUGACGGUAAUGGGUAAAAAAGCACCGGCUAACUACGUG